rnacentral:lncRNA from 1 species
UCAAGCUGGGUGGCAGACAGAGAGGCUGUGUGUCAAAACGUCUCCCUGAAGAAAUGAACUGUGGAGCUGCCAAGGACUUGGAUUAUCUUUUCAAAGGUUGAGUGAGUAUUUCCUUACACACUGUUGGAUCAUAUGAAUGGGUGUGAACCUCCUCCCUUCCUGGAUCUUGUGAGGACCCUACAUCUUGAUUCUGCAGUUUGACCCAACCAAGGACUCGAGUUGCUAAGGUGCUGCAUAUCUUUAUUUAACACCUGACUGAAAGUGAAUCUCCUUUUCCUCUUCCCCUCCCACUGGAGAAGCUGAAGCAGAAACCCAGACUGUUAAGCCUCGCAUGGAAUUUAUAGUCAGCUGUGAGCCAGACAUGGAAUGGAAGAGAAUGAGGUGCUUGAGCCAGCAGCUGCCCAGGUGAGGAAACUGAGGCAAACAGAGGUGGUAGGAUUUUAACUCACCCUCCUGAUACCAACACCAGCAUUCUUUUCACUUUACCAUACUUCCUUAGGGAAGUGCCAAAGCCAAAAAAGCAGACAGGAAUAACAUGAGUUGUUUUGAGACAUGGUAAGUUGCUGUGUAAGCCUAGUUUGUGUGGCCCUUCUCUAAGAAUGGGAAUUUGGAACAAGCUCAGCUGAUUCCAUUCAGAUAAGGAAUUGAUGGUUUGGAUCUUAUGUCCUGGCACUCACACAUGCACCCA